CACGUAGGGCGCGAGCGUUGUCCGGAAUUAUUGGGCGUAAAGAGCUCGUAGGCGGCCUGUUGCGUCCGCUGUGAAAGCCCGGGGCUUAACCCCGGGUCGGCAGUGGAUACGGGCAGGCUAGAGGUAGGUAGGGGAGAAUGGAAUUCCCGGUGUAGCGGUGAAAUGCGCAGAUAUCGGGAGGAACACCGGUGGCGAAGGCGGUUCUCUGGGCCUUACCUGACGCUGAGGAGCGAGAGCGUGGGGAGCAAACAGG
rnacentral:rRNA from 1 species